rnacentral:rRNA from 1 species
CAGUAGCCGCGGUAAUACGAAGGGUGCAAGCGUUAAUCGGAAUUACUGGGCGUAAAGCGUGCGUAGGCGGUGAGUUAAGUCUGCUGUGAAAUCCCCGGGCUCAACCUGGGAAUGGCAGUGGAUACUGGCUCGCUAGAGUGUGUCAGAGGAUGGUGGAAUUCCCGGUGUAGCGGUGAAAUGCGUAGAGAUCGGGAGGAACAUCAGUGGCGAAGGCGGCCAUCUGGGACAACACUGACGCUGAGGCACGAAAGCGUGGGGAGCAAACAGGAUUAGAGACCCGCGUAGUCCCUGUCUCUUAUAC